rnacentral:rRNA from 1 species
AGAGUUUGAUCCUGGCUCAGAUUGAACGCUGGCGGCAUGCUUUACACAUGCAAGUCGAACGGCAGCACGGGGGGGUAAUCCUCUGGUGGCGAGUGGCGAACGGGUGAGUAAUGCAUCGGAACGCGUCCUGUAAUGGGGGAUAACCUGGCGAAAGUCAGGCUAAUACCGCAUACGUCCUGAGGGAGAAAGCGGGGGAUUGGCAACGACCUCGUGUUAUAGGAGCGGCCGAUGUCGGAUUAGCUAGUUGGUGGGGUAAAGGCCUACCAAGGCGACGAUCCGUAGCGGGUCUGAGAGGACGGCCCGCCACACUGGGACUGAGACACGGUCCAGACUCCUACGGGAGACAGCAGUGGGGAAUCUUGCGCAAUGGGCGAAAGCCUGACGCAGCGACGCCGCGUGAGCGAUGAAGGCCUUCGGGUUGUAAAGCUCUGUGGGGAGAGAAGAAUAAGGGUUGGCUAACAUCCAACCUGAUGACGGUAUCUCCUUAGCAAGCACCGGCU